CAAUAGCGUAUAUUAACGUUGUUGCAGUUAAAAAGCUCGUAGUUGGAUUUCUGGAGGGAGCGUCGGCCCGUAUUUACGAGUGCGUGACGUCUCUGUCCAUCCUUGCGGGAAGGCACGGCAUUGAUUUGUUGUGUCGGAUCGCAUCAUUUACUGUGAAAAAAUUAGAGUGUUCAAAGCAGGCUUUCGCUUGAAUACAUUAGCAUGGAAUAAUAAGAUAGGACUUUGGUGCUAUUUUGUUGGUUGAGCCUAAAGUAAUGAUUAAUAGGGAUAGUUGGGGGCACCUGUAUUGCGUUGUCAGAGGUGAAAUUCUUGGAUUUACUCAAGACAAACAGCUGCGAAAGCGUCUGCCAAGGAUGUUUUCAUUA
rnacentral:rRNA from 1 species